ACUAUUUUUCUUACCAAGUACUGAAAAUAGGGUUAGCAGCUAGGUGUAUUUGCAUGAUAUAAUAGACUGGUUUUUGUGGUUUUAAUAAGUAAGAUAAAGGACGCGGGGCAUAGUAUGCUGUGCUAGAGGGAAAUUUUGGACCUCAGCAGACAAAUACUGCGAAGCAUUGCCAGAAUGUUUCAUUAUCAGAACGAAAGUCAGAGGAUCGAAGACGAUCAGAUACCGUCCUAGUUUGACCAUAAACUAUGCCAACUGACAGUUAGUAAAGAUGAAUUAUUUCUUCUUACUAGAAGUCACCGGGAAACCAAAGUCUUUGGGUUCCGGGGGAAGUAUGGUUGCAAAGCUGAAACUUAAAGGAAUUGACGGAAGGGCACCACAAGGAGUGGAGCCUGCGGCUUAAUUUGACUCAACACGGGAAAUCUCACCCGGUCCGGACACUGUGAGGAUUGACAGAUUGAUAGCUCUUUCUUGAUUCGGUGGGUGGUGGUGCAUGGCCGUUCUUAGUUGGUGGAGCGAUUUGUCAGGUUAAUUCCGAUAACGAACGAGACUCUGACUUACUAAAUAGUGAAUUUAUAUUCAAUUGUAAAUUCUCACUUCUUAGAAGAAUAAAUAGCGUUUAGCUAUAUGAAAUAGAGCAAUAACAGGUCUGUGAUGCCCUUAGAUGUCCGGGGCCGCACGCGCGCUACAAUGGCAGUACUAACAAGUUUUCCUAACUAGAAAUAGUCGGGUAAUUUCUUGAAACACUGUCGUAUCAGGGAUUGUGAAUUGAAAUUAUUUCACAUGAACGAGGAAUUCCUAGUAAGCGCAAGUCACUAGCUUGCGCUGAUUACGUCCCUGCCCUUUGUACACACCGCCCGUCGCUACUACCGAUUGAAUGGUUUAGUGAGAUUGUUGGAUUCUGAUCUAAGAAAUGGCAACAUUUCUAUGAAUGGGAAAAGACACUCAAACUUGAUCAUUUAGAGGAAGUAAAAGUCGUAACAAGGUUUCCGUAGGUGAACCUGCGGAAG
rnacentral:rRNA from 1 species